rnacentral:antisense_RNA from 1 species
CUAUAUGGGCGGGCCCGGCAGGGAGGGCUUCGGCCCUGCCGAUUUUUUUGGUUUGUCUUGAUCGGUAUUGCAGACCUUGUCGUGUGCCCGCCCACCCUC